AUCCUUUUGUGAUUCAUAAGCAUGAUGAUUGAGCGUUCACACCAUUGUGUGAGAUGGGCCUUCCUCAAAAUUUGUUACGAUGCCAGCACAUUACUCAUCUGCUG
ensembl:snoRNA